rnacentral:rRNA from 1 species
GACGAACGCUGGCGGCGUGCUUAACACAUGCAAGUCGAACGGAAAGGCCCUGCUUUUGUGGGGUGCUCGAGUGGCGAACGGGUGGGUAACACGUGAGUAACCUGCCCUUGACUUUGGGAUAACUUCAGGAAACUGGGGCUAAUACCGGAUAGGAGCUCCUGCUGCAUGGUGGGGGUUGGAAAGUUUCGGCGGUUGGGGAUGGACUCGCGGCUUAUCAGCUUGUUGGUGUGGUAGUGGCUUACCAAGGCUUUGACGGGUAGCCGGCCUGAGAGGGUGACCGGCCACAUUGGGACUGAGAUACGGCCCAGACUCCUACGGGAGGCAGCAGUGGGGAAUAUUGCACAAUGGGCGGAAGCCUGAUGCAGCAACGCCGCGUGCGGGAUGACGGCCUUCGGGUUGUAAACCGCUUUCGCCUGUGACGAAGCGUGAGUGACGGUAAUGGGUAAAGAAGCACCGGCUAACUACGUG